CGUGUAGGUGGCUAAUUAGGUCAGGUGUGAAAUCCUUCCGCUUAACGGAAGAAGUGCACUUGAAACUGCUUAGCUAGAGUACGGGAGAGGAAGGUGGAAUUCCUGGUGUAGAGGUGAAAUUCAUAGAUAUCGGGAAGAACACCGGUGGCGAAGGCGGCCUUCUGGCCCGAUACUGACGCUGAGACGCGAAAGCGUGGGGAGCAAACA
rnacentral:rRNA from 1 species